UUGGAGGGCAAGUCUGGUGCCAGCAGCCGCGGUAAUUCCAGCUCCAAUAGCGUAUAUUAAAGUUGUUGCAGUUAAAAAGCUCGUAGUUGAAUUUCGGGAUCAAUACGUCGGUCGUGCUUCGGUACGUACUGGCGUAAUUGAUUUCUCCCUUCUGACGAACCAUGAUGUCAUUAACUUGGUGUCAUGGGAAAUCAGGACUGUUACUUUGAAAAAAUUAGAGUGUUUAAAGCAGGCUCACGCUUGAAUACAUUAGCAUGGAAUAAUGAAAUAGGACGUUCGAUCCUAUUUUGUUGGUUUUUAGGAUCAACGUAAUGAUUAAUAGGGAUAGUUGGGGGCAUUAGUAUUCAAUUGUCAGAGGUGAAAUUCUUGGAUUUAUUGAAGACUAACUACUGCGAAAGCAUUUGCCAAGGAUGUUUUCAUUAAUCAAGAACGAAAGUUAGGGGAUCGAAGACGAUCAGAUACCGUCGUAGUCUUAACCAUAAACUAUGCCGACUAGGGAUCGGAUGAUGUUAAUUUUUUAAUGACUCAUUCGGCGCCAAAC
rnacentral:rRNA from 1 species